rnacentral:rRNA from 1 species
ACGAACGCUGGCGGCGUGCUUAACACAUGCAAGUCGAACGGAGAGGCCCUGCUUUUGUGGGGUGCUCGAGUGGCGAACGGGUGAGUAACACGUGAGUAACCUGCCCUUGACUUUGGGAUAACUUCAGGAAACUGGGGCUAAUACCGGAUAGGAGCUCCUGCUGCAUGGUGGGGGUUGGAAAGUUUCGGCGGUUGGGGAUGGACUCGCGGCUUAUCAGCUUGUUGGUGGGGUAGUGGCUUACCAAGGCUUUGACGGGUAGCCGGCCUGAGAGGGUGACCGGCCACAUAGGGACUGAGAUACGGCCCAGACUCCUACGGGAGGCAGCAGUGGGGAAUAUUGCACAAUGGGCGGAAGCCUGAUGCAGCAACGCCGCGUGCGGGAUGACGGCCUUCGGGUUGUAAACCGCUUUCGCCUGUGACGAAGCGUGAGUGACGGUAAUGGGUAAAGAAGCACCGGCUAACUACGUG